rnacentral:rRNA from 1 species
GUGUCGUAGCUAACGCGUUAAGUGCUCCGCCUGGGGAGUACGGCCGCAAGG